rnacentral:lncRNA from 7 species
AUCAGUUCUUUUCUAUUACGUGGGAGGAAUAUACUCUAAAUCUCAACAGGUUUGUUACGGAGAUUAAUAUGAUUGAAAACAAAUGCCAAGAUACUGAGGACCACGCUGGUACUUCAAACAGGACUUCACUAAGGAAUUAUUUCCAUUUUCCAGUAUCUCUCUGUCUAUGCAGGUGGUUACUCAGCUAACACUGGGACAACGUGUGAGCGCUUUGAUACAUACUGACACAAAUGACAGGACAAAGAAGCAUGCGUGGAAAUAAAAUGAAAAUUCAGAACAGAUGUCAGGACAUGUUUUUCAUGCUGAAUGUGCAGAGCGGUCAACCAGUGCAACUCUCCACAAUACAGAGUGAGACUUUCGUGUCUGUGUGUGUUCCUGGCAUGUCCAACACGGCUACUGAUUUCAAGAGGAGCUCAAGGAAUGUGCAGUGGGCUUUUGUCACCUCACCUUUCCAGAUGUUUCUUAAGAACUAAGCAGUUACUUAUCAAGUUGAUUUCUCCCACCUCUCCCAGGUACAAAGGAAAUGGUAUCACAUACAACUACCAUUCAGCAUGGCAUUGGCAUGUUAAAGAGCAUUUUCUUUUGCAGUUUUCAACAGCUGAAGAAGGCAUGUGGUGUUAGAGAGUCUUACGGUGUGGGAAACUGUCUUUUGACCAGCAAUUCAACACUAUGGAAAAGGAGCUUUACAAAAAUCGAUACCUUAACAAAGGCCUAGCGUGCAAAUGUAACAAGUAAGUCAAUGUGGCAUAAACCCUGUGAGAAAUACUAUGCAUUCUAGAGACAUUUAAGAAAUAAAAUUUUUUGCUUAGGACAUAUUAGUUUAUUCCUUGACAACGGACCUACAGGGGGAAUCAAAUGGAUGACGUGGGAUGAGGCCUGCAUUCAGAGGCUUGAGAAUCUUUUACUACCUUAGGAAACUAAAAGUUGUCAUUGCACUAACUGAAAGAGAUGACUCCCAGUAUAACAAAAAUUCCACCUCUGUAACAGUACUACUGUGAGAGAGUAGCUCAGAAUCUCCUUUAUGCUAGCUAGCUGGACUUCACAAUUACUCAACUAUUUUCUUCAGCAAGAGUUUAGAAAGGCCCUUGGGAGGUAAGGUAAAAGAACAUCCCUGGGAUAGGGAGAGUUGGUUAGGUGCUCAUAUGAUUCCUUAAAGAUACACAGUGUUACGGUGUCUUGAGACCCUCUUUUGCUUUUUUCAACUCUGAGCCUUUGAAAUUUGGACCCCAGUCCUUGCAGGAAUAAUUCUAUACCACAGCCCUCCAAGACCUUUGAAAACUGAUAGCUCCUUGGUAAUGGUAAAACAGAAAUGGUAAGUACAUUUUGACACGACCUCCUUUUAUUUGUUUCAUCUACAUUUUAAGAAUAAAAAUAAAACAUUGCUUCCCUCACCCCAUUUGUUUUUUUUUUAAACUCUGAAGUACAAUACACAGAUUGUCUAGCAAGUAAGGUUUUGUACACACUUGCAUGCAUGCAUUAAACUGAUACAUUUAAUUAAUGAAGACACCUUAGGGCUCAAGCCUCAUUUUGCAAUUACAGUAUAAAAAAUUAAGUGCGCGUAUAACGUUUGUGAAUUUUCACCACUGAAAUCUUUGAAAAGAACACAUAAAACAUCAGCUGCAUUCCUACUUAAAACAUUAUUCUGAAUAUUACUGUGAUAAUACACUGUCUUAGCAGCACGGCUUUGGCAAACAGAGAAGCUAUAUGCCUUCCUUUUCCUCUGAAGUGUGUAGACCAAACUUCUCAUUGCUUUCCUUGCAAUGCAUACAUGGUAAGUUUGUUAAAGUGAGAGCUGUUUCUUUGUGGGCUUGUGCAGUAUUUAGUACAAAGAAUGUUGAAAAGUAUUUGAGACAUCUGUACUCUGCUUCUAGGAAUGUAAAUUAUAAAUGGUAACUGACAUAUCUAAAACAAGUAUACUGUAGAAGGUAAUUACAGAGAGAAUAACAAAUUCAAUUUAGAAUUGUAACUUUUCUUUGUGUUGUAACAAUUAUUUUCAAGUGCUUUGCUAGCUGGGAGGGUUCACAUCAUCUUCAGGAUCCAAAUUUUCCGUGCACUAUAAGAUAAAAGUACCAGAGAGUAAUAUUCAUAAAGACUGAAACUUGCUGGAGGAGAAAGUGGAGGAAGCUGUCCAGAUCAUGAAUAUUAAUCAAUGAGGAAGGGUCAUGCCUUUAUUCCCAUCCCUCAGUUAGGAGUUCCUGAUUGCUGCAUUUCAACCGAGUGAGAUACUUAAACUGUAGUACAUUGUUAGAAAGGCAUUGAAGGAAAUCUGUUUCCUCACCUGCCAAUAAAAGGACUCCAUUCAGUUCUGCAGAAGUAGUUACUGAACUGAAGAACUGGAGCCUGGUUGUGUUUGCUGCAUCCCUGACAAAAUACCCUAAAACUGUGGGCAACAGGGUAUGCAUUUCAUAUUUUCUUUAGUUCAUUCAUUGUUUAGUGUGUAGUAAAAGUCAUAUCUUUUAUGCAAUUUGACGAAUUGAAAUAACUGCCAUCAUAACUGAGUUUUCUAUGUGGUUUAGAUACUUUUCAACACUGUUCUAGUGCUGUCAUAGAAAAUGAACACACGAAUUGCUCAU